rnacentral:rRNA from 1 species
AUGAUCCCACCUCUCCUGAAUCUGGAUGGUUUUCCCAGCUCGAUCCUUGGCCAAAUUAACGGCGUUAACAUGUGCAUUGCUUAUUCAAAAGGAUUCAACAUCGGUUUCAUGCUGCGUCAAGAAGAUGGCCUUGAUGCUGGGGCAUGGGUUACCAUCAGGGUAUUCAACCUGACUGAUGAAGUUCGACGGAAGCUUGGGUACUUAACCAAUGGGCUGGAAAUUGUGGCAAUGCAGGGUAGCAUAGUGUACUUCACAACAUCACAGAUGUUCCAUCCGCUCGAGUACACUUGUUGGUUCGCUUGUCUGUGCUUGGAGAGUCGCAGCCUGGAGUGGUUGUUUCUGUGGACGUAUUAUGGUCUCUUCCAACCAUACCACCAUUCAUCAUGGAGUAUUUUUCUGUUACGAGAGAAUGAAAGAUUUUAUCCCUUCAUAUGA